rnacentral:rRNA from 1 species
UACGGGGGGAGCAAGCGUUGUUCGGAUUUACUGGGCGUAAAGGGCGCGUAGGCGGUCAGCACAAGUCAGUUGUGAAAUCUCCGGGCUUAACUCGGAAAGGUCAACUGAUACUGUGCGACUAGAGUGCGGAAGGGGCAACUAGAAUUCUCGGUGUAGCGGUGAAAUGCGUAGAUAUCGAGAGGAACACCUGCGGCGAAGGCGGGUUGCUGGGCCGACACUGACGCUGAUGCGCGAAAGCCAGGGGAGCGAACGGG